UACGUAGGGCGCAAGCGUUGUCCGGAAUUAUUGGGCGUAAAGAGCUCGUAGGCGGUCUGUUACGUCCGCUGUGAAAACCCAGGGCUUAACCCUGGGCUUGCAGUGGAUACGGGUAGACUAGAGGCAGGUAGGGGAGAAUGGAAUUCCCGGUGUAGCGGUGAAAUGCGCAGAUAUCGGGAGGAACACCGAUGGCGAAGGCGGUUCUCUGGGCCUGACCUGACGCUGAGGAGCGAAAGCGUGGGGAGCGAACAGG
rnacentral:rRNA from 1 species